UUUUUAACAUAACCUUCGCGUCAGAUAAUGUAAAAAAUGAGGAAUUACACAAUCUCACAUAAAUAGAACAUAGUGUGUACAAACACAGAAAAUUAAAGAACAGUCGUUUCGUUAAGUCAUCAAGGGCUUGGAAGCCUGGUUAACGCCGCUAUUUAAAUAAUCCACGACGUCGUAGAGAAAUUUGAAUUGCUCAAAGUUUUGAACCAUUUUCAUCCGUUGUGAUCUCAACGAGUUAACACAAUUGAAUAUGAAAUCUUUUGAAUCUUCCAAAUUGGUCGUCUUGGGUAAAAUGUUUUUUGGUACCUGAAGUAUUUGGUCUACAGCAAUAAAAGUACCAGUGCGUCCUACGCCUGCUGAACAGUGAACGAACAUUGGUCCAUCAUUGGGAACCUUAUCAAUACAACGUAUGAUUCCCGUGAUGCUUUCAAUAUCUGGAUGGGUUUUGUCAAACCACGUGUGCACCCAAA